ACGUAGGUGGCAAGCGUUGUCCGGAAUUAUUGGGCGUAAAGCGCGCGCAGGCGGGACCUUAAGUCCAUUUUGAAAGUUCGCAGCUCAACUCCGUGAUGGGAUGGGAACUGGGAUUCUUGAGUACCGGAGAGGAAAGCGGAAUUUCCCGUGUAGCGAUUCAAUGCGUAGAUGUCGGGUGGAGCACCGAUAGCGAAGGCAGCUUUCUGGACUGUUUCUGACGCUGAGGCUCUAAAGUCAGUGGAGCGAAUGG
rnacentral:rRNA from 1 species